rnacentral:rRNA from 1 species
GACGAACGCUGGCGGCGUGCUUAACACAUGCAAGUCGAGCGGUAAGGCUCCUUCGGGAGUACACGAGCGGCGAACGGGUGAGUAACACGUGAGCAAUCUGCCCUUCACUUUGGGAUAACCCCGGGAAACCGGGGCUAAUACCGAAUGCGACCACCGAUGGCAUCGUCUGGUGGUGGAAAGUUCCGGCGGUGAAGGAUGGGCUCGCGGCCUAUCAGCUUGUUGGUGGGGUAACGCCCACCAAGGCAUUGACGGGUAGCCGGCCUGAGAGGGUGACCGGCCACACUGGGACUGAGACACGGCCCAGACUCCUACGGGAGGCAGCAGUGGGGAAUAUUGGACAAUGGGCGAAAGCCUGAUCCAGCAACGCCGCGUGAGGGAUGACGGCCU